UUUCUAUGUGCUCCCCGCAAACCGAGACCUAUAGGGAGGUUAAACGAGUCUCUCAUACCUUUUCCUGAGGGUGGAAAAGGAAUAUUUAAUUCA
rnacentral:ncRNA from 1 species